GCCUAGAUCAAUGAAAAUGGCAGAACAGAAAGUCCUGCAUCUGAAGAAGGCAUGUCCUCUCUGCCCUGGGUCUACGGUCCUGUAUCCAGGCAGCCCCUCCUCACUCACUGGCAGUCUGUCCACAGCUCUGUAGCCCUAAAGGCCUGGAGAACAGCUAAGACAAUGGAUGUGCAGCAAAUGCUUCAACCUCAGGGUGGUUUGCAAAGGAAAACUGGAC
rnacentral:lncRNA from 1 species